CAGAUUACUUCGGUUUGAAGUCUUUUAUGACUGAGUGGCGGACGGGUGAGUAACGCGUGGGUAACCUGCCUCAUACAGGGGGAUAGCAGCUGGAAACGGCUGGUAAUACCGCAUAAGCGCACAGUACCACAUGGUACAGUGUGAAAAACUCCGGUGGUAUGAGAUGGACCCGCGUCUGAUUAGCUUGUUGGCGGGGUAACGGCCCACCAAGGCGACGAUCAGUAGCCGACCUGAGAGGGUGACCGGCCACAUUGGGACUGAGACACGGCCCAGACUCCUACGGGAGGCAGCAGUGGGGAAUAUUGCACAAUGGAGGAAACUCUGAUGCAGCGACGCCGCGUGAGUGAAGAAGUAGUUCGCUAUGUAAAGCUCUAUCAGCAGGGAAGAUAGUGACGGUACCUGACUAAGAAGCUCCGGCUAAAUACGUGCCAGCAGCCGCGGUAAUACGUAUGGAGCAAGCGUUAUCCGGAUUUACUGGGUGUAAAGGGAGUGUAGGUGGCCAGGCAAGUCAGAAGUGAAAGCCCGGGGCUCAACCCCGGGACUGCUUUUGAAACUGCAGGGCUAGAGUGCAGGAGGGGCAAGUGGAAUUCCUAGUGUAGCGGUGAAAUGCGUAGAUAUUAGGAGGAACACCAGUGGCGAAGGCGGCUUGCUGGACUGUAACUGACACUGAGGCUCGAAAGCGUGGGGAGCAAACAGGAUUAGAUACCCUGGGUAGUCCACGCCGUAAACGAUGAAUACUAGGUGU
rnacentral:rRNA from 1 species